CCUACGGGAGGCAGCAGUAAGGGAUAUUGGUCAAUGGGGGAAACCCUGAACCAGCAACGCCGCGUGAGUGAAGACGGUUUUCGGCUUGUAAACCUCUGUCCUCUGUGAAGAUGAUGACGGUAGCUGAGGAGGAAGCUCCGGCUAACUACGUGCCAGCAGCCGCGGUAAUACGUAGGGGGCGAGCGUUGUCCGGAUUUACUGGGUGUAAAGGGUGCGUAGGCGGCUUGGAAAGUCAGUAGUGAAAUCCAGGGGCUUAACCCAUGAACUGCUAUUGAAACUGUCGGGCGUGAGUGAAGUAGGGGUAGGGGGAAUUCUCGGGGUAGCGGUGAAAUGGGUAGAGAUAGGGAGGAACACGAGUGGCGAAGGCGGCCUACUG
rnacentral:rRNA from 1 species